AGGAGGUGCCGCGCCACUUUUCAGAGCCGUUUACUGCCGUAAUUCGACGGAAGAGGGACUUCGAGUGAGUCGGGCGAGGCGACUGGGUGGAUAGGUUUUGCAUCACGUGUUUAUUCGACACUUAGCAAUGUUAGUUCAGCAAGCCGAUUGCUCAGCAGCGGAGAGGAUUUUCACAUUGAAGAAGCAAUUUUAUUACUGACCCGGUCGAGAAGCUUCUUCAAACUUUCACAAACACGAGCCGAACUUCUCCCUCGGCCAUGAAACUCAAUCAACGACUUCCCGUCAAUGCUGCAAGGGCGUAGGCGUCGAAUCUGCCCGCGAAAGAAAAGUCCACCCGGCAAAUUUCAAUUAGUCCAAUAAUCGAAAUAAUUAGGAAAAUUGACGGAUGGAGUGAUCGGUGCCCGAGAGCGUGAUCCCAUCACCGCCGUUCGCGCAGUCCGAAAUGUUGAAGGUCGAUGCCGAAAGAAUCGAGAAACAACCUCCAACGGAUGGCGACGGAGGAGAGCCGUUAGGCUAUCGGCUUCUCCGAUCGGAGAGAGUUAUAUCAAAAGUUCUCGCGUCAGCGUGAAUCUUCGCUCGCUAUCCGGCGAGGAUCACCCCUCUUCGCCGAGGCUGACGAGGCGUCAACGACAGAGAGAUCAUGGCGAUCGCCGCGAAGACGAUCGCCCGAUCCGCGAUCCGAGCGCCUCGACCCGCCUCGGGCGCCCCCAGCUGACCGAUGGAAGCGACCGAAUGUUCCGGUGACCGAUUGCCACGGGCUCCGCUGAAAAGUGUGCCGCCGCGAGAGCAUCCACGGAAUCUCAUUAGCAACCUGAAGGAUCCCAAAAAGUCGAAGCAAUUUAUUCGAGAGGAACGGACGGCCGGAUAGGCGACUGGAAAUCGUUGCAGGAACGAGAUUUGUUAUUCCAUCACGUUCAGCUUCCAUGAACGCUGGAGAACGCUUGAUUUCCGAUUUUUCCGCACUGACAUCCGCGGUCCAUUGAUCAGAAAGCGAUCGAUGGUACCGGAUGUCACUCAGCCGCCCGUUCGCCGUCUGUCCGUAGCCAAUGAUGCUCUCGGGGUCGACGUUAAUUGAGAGGUAUCGCUGCCAUCGUCAACUCGCGCGGCGGUCUCGAUUUAUCAUCGCGCGGCAGCCCGGCGGGCGAACGUCUCCGCGACGAUCGCGACGGAUGGAAUACAUUAAUAUAUUACACAUUUAUGGUUACACGCCCGCAGAGCGUAUCGGUAGCGACGUACUCGCGCUCGGAGGGCGCCACAGUCCAUAGAGCUGUGAACCCAGCCAAUGGUAAACGGGAGUCGAAAGUUGUCCUAAUCGCCGUUAUGUUCACACCAGCGACACCAUGACCCGUUUCUUAGAGGUCGAGUGCAGCACCGCGAUGUGCCCACUCCUCCUGGACGAGUGGGCCGUCAGGGACGUGGUGACAGUGGUCCGGGUGCUACUGUUUGGACCGCCGGCGCCGAAGCAGUGAUGAGGAUUCGUCGCGCACCAUCCAGAAACCCAGGAGAUCGCCUGCAUGUUCCUAUCGCAUCAUCACCGCUAUAUUCUCCCGUAUGCCGUCCAACCUUUAUUGCCUCCGUUUAUUGCCGCCAGAUUAUAAAACCGGUCUCUAUAAACCAAUUCACGCCAGCUUCCUGACAGCCGUUACAUUCGACAACGUUUGAGGCAUUAGAAAAAUCGUUAUCGUGAACUACUGCUCUACAAAGUGGGCCGCGUGUUGUGUGCGUUCGUGGCGAAAUUGGUUGGAUCAAUUACGAUACAGUAAACGUAUUCGAAGAGCCACGAAAGAAUGUUUUUCAACCCGACAUGAUGACCAGCUUUUAGAAUCCUUUUUAUUUCGACUGUGCAUCGCGUCAUUCUAAAUGUCUGUAUUUUUUCCUUUUCGUGAUUUUAUAACUAAUACAUUCUAUAAAUAAAUAAAUAAAUCUUGCAAUUAAA